CAAGUCGAACGAUGACGUCACUGCUUGCAGUGAUUGAUUAGUGGCGAACGGGUGAGUAACACGUGAGGAACUUGCCCAUGAGCGGGGGACAACAUUCGGAAACGGAUGCUAAUACCCCAUAGGUGGAUUGGUCGCAUGACUAAUUCAUUAAAGGUAGCUCUGCUACCACUCAUGGAUAGCCUCGCGGCGUAUUAGCUAGUUGGUAAGGUAAUGGCUUACCAAGGCAGUGAUACGUAGCCGACUUGAGAGGGUGAUCGGCCACACUGGGACUGAGACACGGCCCAGACUCCUACGGGAGGCAGCAGUAGGGAAUCUUCCACAAUGGGUGCAAACCUGAUGGAGCAAUGCCGCGUGAGUGAAGAAGGUCUUCGGAUCGUAAAGCUCUGUUGUUAGAGAAGAACACGUGCUAGGUAACUACUAGCGCCUUGACGGUGUCUAACCAGAAAGUCACGGCUAACUACGUGCCAGCAGCCGCGGUAAUACGUAGGUGACAAGCGUUGUCCGGAUUUAUUGGGCGUAAAGGGAGCGCAGGCGGUCUGUUUAGUCUAAUGUGAAAGCCCACGGCUUAACCGUGGAACGGCAUUGGAAACUGACAGACUUGAAUGUAGAAGAGGAAAAUGGAAUUCCAAGUGUAGCGGUGGAAUGCGUAGAUAUUUGGAGGAACACCAGUGGCGAAGGCGAUUUUCUGGUCUAACAUU
rnacentral:rRNA from 1 species